GGGAGGGUGGCCGAGUGGCUGAAGGCGACGGUUUGCUAAACCGUUGUACGGGUUAAACCGUACCGUGAGUUCGAAUCUCAUCCCUUCCG
rfam:Elstera litoralis strain Dia-1 c860, whole genome shotgun sequence.